UACGUAGGGUGCAAGCGUUAAUCGGAAUUACUGGGCGUAAAGCGUGCGCAGGCGGCUUUGCAAGACAGAUGUGAAAUCCCCGGGCUUAACCUGGGAACUGCAUUUGUGACUGCAUGGCUGGAGUGCGGCAGAGGGGGAUGGAAUUCCGCGUGUAGCAGUGAAAUGCGUAGAUAUGCGGAGGAACACCGAUGGCGAAGGCAAUCCCCUGGGCCGAUACUGACGCUGAGGAGCGAAAGCGUGGGGAGCGAACAGG
rnacentral:rRNA from 1 species